rnacentral:rRNA from 1 species
UACAGAGGUCCCAAGCGUUGUUCGGAUUCACUGGGCGUAAAGGGCGCGUAGGCGGGCUGCCAAGUUUGGGGUGAAAUCCUCCGGCUCAACCGGAGCAGUGCCUCGAAUACUGGCGGUCUCGAGGGAGGUAGGGGCGUGCGGAACUGUGGGUGGAGCGGUGAAAUGCGUUGAUAUCCACAGGAACUCCGGUGGCGAAGGCGGCACGCUGGACCUUUUCUGACGCUGAGGCGCGAAAGCCAGGGGAGCGAACGGG